rnacentral:rRNA from 1 species
UAUAGAGGUCUCAAGCGUUGUUCGGAUUCAUUGGGCGUAAAGGGUGCGCAGGCGGCGCGGUAAGUCGGGUGUGAAAUCUCGGAGCUUAACUCCGAAACUGCAUUCGAUACUGCCGUGCUUGAGGACUGGAGAGGAGACUGGAAUUUUACGGUGUAGCGGUGAAAAUGCGUAGAUAUCGUAAGGAAGACCAGUGGCGAAGG